GAAGGAAAGAGAAAAGCAUACCGAGACUCAGAGGAGGUACAGUGCGAAAGUAAAAUACAAAGGACCCCUGUCCAUAUGAGAUCAUAAUGCACCUGCAUGACCUCACUCAGCCCUUCAUCUGCCCAUUGUUGAUCUGACCUGGCCCCUAAUUGUGAGGCCUUGGGCAGCUGCCUUAGGGGUCCCUGCCAGAUGGACAGGCAGCAGUCCACCUGAGAAGAGUGAAGGAACCCAUUGCAAGUAUUCCAGCUCUUGAUGGGAGAAGCUAACAGCUGUGUGAUCUCUGGGACCCGGAAGUCGCCUAAGAAGCCCUUCUUACAUUGGGUUGAUCCCCUGGGAGAAAUGUCAGCUAGACCACAACCCUGCCUGCAGAGGGACUGGCCAGCCACUGACUCCCCUGACGUCCCUGAUUCUGAGACACGACUCAGGAGAAUGGCAGCAGGCUGUUCUCUCAGCUGAUUCUUCAUUCUCGGGUCGUUGUUCCUGAAGGUGAGGCCAGUGGCCUGCUGGUGUUCUGCUCACGCUGCAGCAAGCAAACCAGAGAAGCCACUGAGUGGGCGAUUCCCAGCUGAGCUGCACGGUCCUGGCAGCCACCCAGGGAUAAGAACAGCCACCCCAUCGGCGCUGGUGCAGUGGGUUUGGCUAGCAGCAAACGUCUUCAGGGACAGAAGCCCAGAGAUGCUGGAGGUCAGCACCAUCCGGCUCCUCAGGAAGGUGACCGGGAAGUGACUCUCCCACCAAAAGCUCGGCGGGUGCACAGGUGUCUCAGGGAAUCUGGUGCUGCCUUAGUGAGCACCCAGGCCGGGGACUCUUUGUGUCAGCAGGAGAGACUGAGACCAUGAGAGCUGGAAUACAUGGAAAAGAGGGGAAGACAUUUGGAAGUAUGAUUAAAAAGUGCUCACAAAAGGAACGUUCACAAAA